rnacentral:rRNA from 1 species
ACGGCCAUACAAUAUGAAAACACCGGUUCUCGUCCGAUCACCGAAGUUGAGUAAUGUCGGUCAGUACUUGGGAGGGUGACACCUGGGAGUGCUGUAGGUU